GGGAGAGGCAUGGGAUGGAUGGGAAAACGACAAACCAGGGCUGCAUUUAUUUGGGGUGUGUGUGUGAAUGCCACACUGCAGGCUGUGGGAUGGUCUGGAGAAGUGUGAGGUGUUGCUGUUAAGUGGGAAAGAGCAUGCACAGAUAGCAUGGUGGAAGACUUGGGUUGGGGGGGGGGAGAAAAAAGGUGGAGGUGGUUGUUGUUGGGGGGAGAUGGAAGGAUUGGUCAUGCGCAAGUCACCUCACCACUUUGUAAUGCCACCUGGUUGUGGUAAAAGGCUUGUCUGCACUUUGAAUGCAGUCAGAGUCAAGGCUGAGCAUGAGGAGGUCACACAGAGACCGCGGGCCGUUGGAGGCAUCUUAAAAAUCUCUUACAUCUGGAGGAGCCAUAAUUCACAGGAUUUGGCCUGACAGCCAUGACAGCCAUUGGGGCGGCCAGCAACAACUGUCUCCUGUGUUAGCAGCCUAGUAUGUGUCUGAGAGAGAGCGAGAGAGCGAGAGAACGAGAACAAUAUUUGUAUGCCUUUUUAGUGUACAUUUAAUCUAUGCAGAUGCUAUUAAAUGUGAUCAAAUUUGCUCUGAUAUAAUAUCAAUAAUAUAAUAUACAUGACAGCAAUAUAUUUUGAAUUAUUUCUGAAUUACAGUCAGGGUGAGGUGCAGCCACAGGUUGUUGCUUUUCUCAAACGUCAUCGUGAUAUGGCCCUAAAUAUUCCACACGGACAGUAGCGAAGCCUAAAAUCCUGCAUUCCACAUUCCUCAUUCAGACGGCUUGCCUGCUAAGCCGGGCAGCACAUGAACAGCCAUUGUUAGAGAAGGAGAGGAGGAGCGUCAUGUAUUUCUCUCUCUCCGGCCAUCCAUCCAUCUGUCCGUCUAUCUGUAUUCUCUUGUCACACAUCCACGUCUAGCUCUCCUUGUCCGCCUUCAUCUCUCUUACGUGUCGCUUUACUGCCCACUCCUACCGUUCGCCUACCACCUCGUAUUUCUUUUAUCCUCGUCUAUCCCUCACUUCUGGUUCCCACUGACGUUGUUAGGCUGGCAACUCUUUUACGAUGCCUUCUGCUUCCUCCGUCUUUGUGUCCCUCUCGAUUCCCUCUGCACGUCUCCUUUCCCGUCUGCCUUUCCAGAAAUUCAUGUCGAGCUUUUCUUCACAUUAGAUACAGAUUUAUGACCUACAGCUUGAUCCCCACGGUCACUAAAUUUGAUACCAUUGACUAAGCCACGUUGUUUUCUUGUAUGUUCGGACUUCACUGCGCUUGCGGGUAGGCUCGGCAACACCUGUCGGGUCCCGAGCGUUCCAAGAUGGCAGAUUUAUUUUUAAUCGCUUAGUGCCUGAUUCAAAUGUAUAUAUUAUAUUAGCGUUGUUAUUCUUCACUUUGCGUAAGGCAAACACUGAGGUUGUUGGAGCUGUAGCAAGGUGUGUGUGAGGGGUGUCCGUGUGUGUGUUUGUGUUCAUGUGGGGGUGGGAAAAAAAUGCCUUUUGAGGCCGCACAUUUGUUUUGAUUUUCAUUGCAUUUACUUCAUUUAAUUUAUCUUUGAAAUGAGUAAAAUAUAUUUAAAAACACAUGCAAUACUUCAUCUAAUUAUAUAUCAGGCGGCACUGUGUUUUUGUUAUACAUGUAUUUACAAACCUGACGUAUUACAAAUUGUUUUGAUGAGUACAUUUUUCCAAAAUGAGCGUAUCAUUUUUAGAACUGUUGGAACAUUUGUUCUGAAACACAUUUGGAGUUUAGCUCAUAUGAGUGUGAUCAUUCUGUUCAGAUGUUGAAAUGAUUAAUGUCAUAUCAUAUUUUAGGAGAUUAUACAUGGAGGUAAAGCAAGAUGGCGUGCAUUAAAAGGGAAAUUGCCUAUUUUUGUGCUGAUUCUUUUUUCUUAUUUUCUUCUUACGGAUGACACCAUCUCUAAAGAUUCAAUUGUAUAAACAUACACUCUUUGAAGUGAGAAAAAAAAAUAAUAAUAUAAAAUAGAAGACAAACAGGUGGAAAAGAAUCCUUAUAGAGUUUGAUAAAGAAUUCUGACAGGAGUCACGUCACAGGCGCUUGUCCUCUUGCCAUGCAUAUUUGAUUUGCUCUAGGUGGUAUUUGUAGUGUAUUUAUGUUUCCUUAUUUGAAUCCUAUUCCACAAGUUGCCACUGGUGGGGCGCAUUACAAUGACACCAGCCAUUGUAAUGUUGUUUGCGCCAAGCCAGGUGGAAUUUUCCGUUUGAUGUUUGCUUGUGCUGAAAUGCACCAAAUAAAAGCCUCGCGAGAUAAAGGUGUGUUCUUGCACAUGUCUGAGUGUGCGUGCGCCUGUUGCUUCAAACUAUUCAUCUGUCACUCAAUGUGUGCACAUUGUUUGCACCGGUGUGCUCACAUCCACGUAUAAAAGUCAUAUCGUGCUUGAGAUCAAAUGUUGUAUCAAGGAGGAGAGUGACAGAGAUGGCCAAAGUGAUGGCUCUUUAAUGUAACCUAUCCUAUCUCAAACCAAAAUAAAUAGAAGAGCAGAAAGACACAGAAUAAGCAAGUGUGUUUUAGGGCAAAUGGGGUGACAUGAAACACUUAGACAGAAAAGCGCUGAACACGACGGCGGCUUUGUAGUGACAGAAAAGAAACGUCCCACCAAAACACCGAAAGAGAAUAAAUUGGAAGCGUCGCAGACUGAAGUUAUUCGCACCUGCCUAAGAUAAAGUAGAAUCCACACAGUUGAACACAAUACAUUGUGUGACCUGCCAUUUCAUCUUCCCAUUCAUUAGUUACAUAUUCUCAAUAAAUAAUAGUCAUUUAUUAUUUCCAUAUGAACCUGUGGUUUGGAAGUAAAGCAUGACUGCAUCUGUCAACAAAAAAGUAUGUGUCGAUCUAUCUUUGUCAGCGACUGUCAAAGUAU